GACAGAGGGGGCAAGCGUUGUUCGGAAUUACUGGGCGUAAAGCGUGCGCAGGCGGUUGUGUAAGACAGAUGUGAAAUCCCCGGGCUCAACCUGGGAACUGCAUUUGUGACUGCACGGCUCGAGUGCGGCAGAGGGGGAUGGAAUUCCGCGUGUAGCAGUGAAAUGCGUAGAUAUGCGGAGGAACACCGAUGGCGAAGGCAAUCCCCUGGGCCUGCACUGACGCUCAUGCACGAAAGCGUGGGGAGCAAACAGG
rnacentral:rRNA from 1 species